UCUCGAUAGCGUAAAAGUUAACUCAAAUCUGUAUGGCGUUGGAACGCAUGCUUACGUUUGCCGCUAGGGGCGCUGUUCCAACUACAUACAAUUUGAUUUAACUUUUACGCUAUCGA
rnacentral:pre_miRNA from 9 species